rnacentral:rRNA from 1 species
GACGAACGCUGGCGGCGCGCUUAACACAUGCAAGUCGAACGGAAAGGCCUGCUUUCCCUUGUGUAUUGCGGGUACUCGAGUGGCGAACGGGUGAGUAACACGUGAGUGAUCUGCCCCCAACUUGGGUAUAAGCCUGGGAAACUGGGUCUAAUUCCCGAUAGGACUGCAGGGUGGUGCCUGUGGUGGAAAACGAUUUUCUAGUGGUUGGGGAUGAGCUCGCGGCCUAUCAGCUUGUUGGUGGGGUAAUGGCCUACCAAGGCGGCGACGGGUAGCCGGCCUGAGAGGGUGGACGGCCACAUUGGGACUGAGAUACGGCCCAGACUCCUACGGGAGGCAGCAGUGGGGAAUAUUGCACAAUGGGCGGAAGCCUGAUGCAGCGACGCCGCGUGGGGGAUGACGGCCUUCGGGUUGUAAACUCCUUUCGACCGCGAGGAAGCCACCUGGUUGGAAGGGUGGUGACGGUAGUGGUAGAAGAAGCACCGGCUAACUACGUG